rnacentral:rRNA from 1 species
AUUGAACGCUGGCGGCAUGCUUUACACAUGCAAGUCGAACGGCAGCACGGGUGCUUGCACCUGGUGGCGAGUGGCGAACGGGUGAGUAAUACAUCGGAACGUGCCUGGUAGUGGGGGAUAACUGCUCGAAAGAGCAGCUAAUACCGCAUGAGAUCUAAGGAUGAAAGCAGGGGACCUUCGGGCCUUGUGCUACCAGAGCGGCUGAUGGCAGAUUAGGUAGUUGGUGGGGUAAAGGCUCACCUAGGCUUCGAUCAGUAGCUGGUCUGAGAGGACGACCAGCCACACUGGAACUGAGACACGGUCCAGACUCCUACGGGAGGCAGCAGUGGGGAAUAUUGGACAAUGGGCGCAAGCCUGAUCCAGCCAUGCCGCGUGUGUGAAGAAGGCUCGGUGUAAC